rnacentral:misc_RNA from 1 species
AGAGAAGAGAGCCCUGUGAUGUCUAGGAUCCAUCUUAAUUAGAAGGUACCUUUUUUUUAGUCCUCAUUUUUAGGAAACAUGGAUUAAGCAGUGUCUAUUGGCCACUUCAGCGCUCCCAUUUUAAGUCUGCAAAUUUGUCUAGUAGGUUUUCCUUCUGUUAUCUGCGUAACUUUUCCAUGGACUAGCCUAUCGAGGAAACAGGCAUGCCUUGCUUUGUGUGCCAUUAGACUCGUUUGUGCAGCGAAAACCCAAAAAGGAAAAAUGUUAAACAGAAUCAAAAGUUACUGUUAACUCAUUUCUUGACCUUGUGACUUAGUGGAGAUAAAUCUCUUUAAUCGUGAAGGCUUUCUACGUUUGUUAUUCUCUCAGGGUACAGUGAUUUUACUGUAUCACUUACUGAUGCCAUUUUCUUAUUCAAUCAUUUGUCUUUUUCAUUUAUUUUAAUUUGUGCUUCAUGGAUGGAAUUUU